CAAAAUCCAGAUAAAACAGGUUAAUCGCAAGCUUAUUUCUAGCAUGUAGCUCCCGGUAUCCUCCGCAUUAUGUAUAAUAUACCAGUACCGAAGAGAAGAGAACACACACAAACGCUACGCCCAGACGAGACCUUAAGAUAGAUUCAUGGAUACACAAUGCACACCGUGGAUAUGAACACAAUAAACACCUCGAAGUCUAGACAGAUAAAUUACAAUGAGUCAAAAAUCAUGACAGCAUCAAACUCAAGCGUGUGUCCAGACUAGAAGAAUGGGCCUAUGACCAGCCGAAGACGAAGUCGAGAACGUAGACGACGGCGAGGGUCAGAGGGUACAGCAGGUAGGCCACCAGGCAGGUCCAGAGCGGGAAGCUGGUCCGGAAGCUUGUGAAGAGUCCCAUGAUGACACAGACGAGCAGGAUGACGAGCACCUCCGAGGAGAAGUCCCACGUCAGCUCCCUGAAGUAGAUGAGCGCCAAGAACACGCCCAGGCACAGUGUGUUGUUCAUGGUCACGCCGCCGUAUACCUGCAAGCGAAUUUGUCGUUAGGUUUACCGAAGGAUGUUCUUAGUCCAGAGUAGAGAGAUGGACGGUUACAAGCUAAGGAGUUUCACUGUACCUCUGAGAAAGUGAGGGAGCAAGUCCUCUGCUUCUUCCUGCUGGCGAAGAUGAUGGCCGAGACGGCCUCGCUGGAAUUGGUUGCCAGCGGGAGGCCGAUGAACGAGACAAAGAAGGACGGGAUGUGUGUGGCGUUAGAGAAGUUGUGGACAGCAUCAACAAGCGGGUCUGCAAAUGCGGCACAAAUGGUAGCGCCGAGAAGCAGGUACCCCACGGCCUUGGCAAUGCACCAGCCAGGGUUCUCGACGCUCUCCACUGCCUCGUCAGAUCUGUCGACCAACUGGUCAUGAUCCUCCCUAGUUCUCUGCAGAAUUCAGGCAACUCGGUAAGUGCCUAUCUCUUUCGUGUCCAAGUUACACUACUAUCUAAACUUGUUUUAUGUGUUUCCCUAGUGUAAGUUAUUAUAAUUCUUAUCUGAAGAGGUGUGCUCUGUCUAUUUCUAUUUACAGGGAUCGGAAGUAAAUAAACUUACAGCAUGGUAGUCGUUGACAAACUUAUUAGAGUAGGCACCACUAGCCUCCACUUUUUGCUUCGCCUCAUGAAGCCAUAUUUUCAUUCCCGCGACAAACUCAUCCUCCUCCACAGUGUCAUUGCCUGAAGUAUCAAAGUCGUCCAUGAUCUUAUCGACAGCAUCAUUCUUGUCAAAGUCAAUCUCCUCAAAGUUGAUCCCGAUAAUAAGCGCAUGUAGCUCUGCUCGUGACAGGUUACGGCUGUCAUCAUUGUCAAUCUUGUGGAACAACCUGCAGGUGAGCAUAGACAAGGUUUCAUAUCAUGCUCAUGAAUGCUGUGUUAUUUGAAUAUCGGACUAAUAAUAUACUUGAAGAACCUCACUUUCUUAUGACGUUUUCAUUAGGUGAGCCGUCAUCGUUAAGUAGCCGGCCCAGUGCUUGCUUUUGGGCAUGCUGUAGGAUCCCAGAGAUCACAUGCUUGUGCUUUGCAUAUGCGAGCUUCCUCUUCUGAACCCAAGGCUGGAAAACCUGAUGCAAAGAGUAGAAUUAACUGUCAAAAUUUAAUCCAAUCUUUUCAUCAUUUGCAGCCUCCUACAAAUGAAACUGUCUAAAUAUUUACCUGAUACAGGCAGUAGCCGAGUACAAGUGAGAAUGAAGCGAUUAGGGCCAGUAAGAUGGCUAGGCGCUCCCCAUGGUGAGUCUUCAACAUUUUCGGGAACUGAGCAAUGACAAAGGGAAUAACAGAUAUGGCCAUGAUUCGUGCUGCGUAGCUAGUUUGCACAUCAGUUGUAAUGCCAGAGCCUGCAACAGGGUGCGAUCAUAUCAAACACUGUUAAAUAAUUCAAUAACUGAGCUGUUGUAUUCUUUUCGAGAUAAAACUGACAGCAUCGUACUGCAUAAUUUACAACACAACCAAGUAUCAGAAAUCUUCAGACUGCAGUAACAACAUACAUACAUACAGAGUGGCAACUUACCAGUCAAGCUGAAGCCCUUAGUGUCAGUUGAAUCAAUAGCAACACCAUUUUCCCCAACAUCACACUUGCCAACAACAACACAAGUUCCCCAAAGCAGGGUGAGAAGAA
rnacentral:lncRNA from 1 species